rnacentral:misc_RNA from 1 species
AUAUUUCAGGGUUCAGUGACGACCGGAUUAUUAUGUUUAUAAUUCAGAAAAUCAGGCAACAUGUCGGACAAUGCAGAAGACACAGAAUGCUAUCUACGCAUUAUUUCAAUGUACAUUGAUAUUGGUACAGAUACAGUCCUAAAGUUAUUCUGUCACUGCAAACCGAAAGAAGAAGUUGGCCAAUUUCUUUCACAUCCAGACUCAAGAAAAACUUUGGAAGACCUGAAACGAAGAAAUGUUUUGAAGAAAAAUCAAUACUUCUUGGUUACAGCGUCGAAUCCAAAUGUCGACAAAUUCGACAUUGCUCUUUUAAUAACUCUUUUGACAAAUUUGUUCCCGAAUACAGACCUGCCAGCACCGCAGAGAGGAUGGACAAGUAAACCUAAAAAUUCAGAUUUGUCGAUAGGGGCUGAUUUGAUACGCCUUCGGAAGAUUAGGAAUAACGUUCUUUGUCAUCGACCAAAAGCGCACUUGCCAAAGUUUCAGUUUGAGUAUUACUGGUCAACGAUCGAAAAAAUCUUGCUAAGAAUCAUGCGACAAAUCCAGCCUGAUGAAGAAGACGUUCUUAAGCGCAAAAUAGAGCAGUACAAAGUACGCAAGUUGGACUCGGCCCUCGUAAUUAAGCACAGUGAUAUAUUGAGAGACUGGGAAAAAGAAAUCGAUGAAAUCCAAACUCAGGUAGAAGACCUACUCAGAACGCUGAAAGAAUUCGACAUUUAUUUCAAGAACAAGCCGCGGCGAUAUAAACGUUACAUAAGACUCAUGAUAGAAGGUGGUAGAUUGGUUCUUAAAGCUGUCCUAAAUAGGGAACUCAGCAAACGACGAGUAAGCCUCACGACGUUCCUUAAGGAAAAUGAAUCUAGUCUGAAGUCAAAGACCGCAGACAUACAUAAUAUCGAUUAUUUGUAUCCAGAGGAUCAGUCACUUGUCAAAGAUAGCAAUUUAGAUGACUGGAAUUGGUCACUCCUUGUUGAGGUUGUUCUAAAUAGUUUUGGCGAUCUUGAACCUGAAGAUAAAGAGGACAUAGAAGCAAUACAAAACGCCCACAACAGUUAUGCUGACACUGCUCUAUUAUCGCUAGACAGUGACCGUUUCACAGGUGUCCUAAUUGAACUUACAAACAGACUUACGUCAGUAGCAAAUAAUUUAGGUAAAGAGGUGAAAAGCAAGUUGAAGGAUCUUAUUGCAUCAUGCAGCAAAACAGACGACGAAGAUGAUACUUCAGCUGAAGAGUACCUAGACACUCUGCACAAAACAUGUUCAAACAUAAGAAGCCUUACUGAUGUACAUAUAGAAACUGUUGAAAAACUGAAGAAGUCAUUGUAUCAGAUGAAAAUAGACGGAAUAAGCCUCAAAACUGAGCAAAUGUUGGAAAUAAAGUUCCAGACAACGAGCCAUAAAAGGGAAACAGCAGAAAAAGCAGAGGAUACCAUUUACACAAUAUUACUUGAGGCAAUCAGGAAAUCUGUUGACACUUCUGGUUUGCCGGUUGUAAGACAUACCAUUGAUAAAAUUCUCGAAAUGUUAACUGCCCACACCGAUGUCACAAACAUAAAGGUUAAACGACACUGCAUUAUCGUUGAAAUCAAUUGUUCAUCAACGUCUGGUAUUCAGCAUGUACUCAGCAUUUUUGAGAACGAUGUAUUCCAGAACCUACUGCACAGUGUUUCUGUAGAAAUGAUGAGCGAGUUGUCUGACACAAUCGCAAUACAAACAAACUUUACGUUUGAGUCUUUAAAUGAAAUUCUCACAUGCCGAAAUGAUGUUCCAGAGGAUCGAGAAAUAGUAAUCCAGGUACCCUUUAAAUCUGCAGCAGAUUUAAAAAGGAUCAUAUCCCCCUUUGAGAGCCGAGAAUUGACAAACAAUGCUAACAGCAUUUCUGGAUACCUGUCAGAUCAUUUUAGUGAGACGGUUAAAUUCAUGGUGUCUCAUGAAAUGAAGGGAAUCAGUGAUUCAGACACUUCAUCACCUAAGUCCGAAGACUUUGAAACUGAUGAACAGUGUUCAAAAGGAGCUCAAACCCCAGACCAUGAAUACGGAAACGUACAUGUUGGUGAUGUGAAAAAAGAAGCACCGGAAGACAUACCGGGAAUAGACACAACUUCACAACUAGCAAAAGUUAAGAAUAUGAAUUCAGAUGGAAGUGUUGAUGAGUUUUCUUAUCUCGAAGAUUUAGGCAGAUGGCAGAAUAUUUGGGAAAUACGUAAUGAACAGCUGAAGGGAGAAGAUACAGGAAUGUCAAACAAGUAUUGUCAACUGGUAACCUUUGUGAUUGAUAUCUGCCCGAAGCCUUUACGUAGAUGUUUCAUUUCUCAAGCUACGACUGAUACAAAGUAUCCGUACAGGAAUUUAGAGAACUACCUACAGCUUCGAAAACAAGACAUCACCAACUUACGACAGCAGCACAUGAUAAGCCCUGAUCAGUUUGCCAAUAUUUACCCUAUGGCUGCUUCCGUGGACAUACAAACAUGGGACGUUUCUUUACUAACUAUCCUACUCCUGGAGUUAUUUCAAGCUAAACUGCAACAAGAAGAAAAAGAAUGCAUUCGUAGGAUACAGAGCAUAUGGAACAGACUGAAAUACAUUGGAAAUUCUAGUUUGUUGACUCUUCAGAUGUUUCAGUCUUACUCAGAUGACCUUAAAGAUGCUGUCCGUAAACUUUCGCAGUCUGGAGAAAGCUUGAAGCUCAACCGGAAGGUCGAUUUUCCGUCUGUAAUAACGGAAAGCACGAACGUUGUGGUGCCAGUAUCAAAAAUCGCGGCUAUGUAUGCAAAACUUGAAGAGAAGUUAGACAGGCAAGCAGCCGAGAUUCAGACUUUAAAAGAAGAAACGAAACAGUCACAUAAAAUCCUGACAAAGUCAUCUGUGAAAAAAGUCAGUAGAUCAGGUGUUGCAGAAAAGCGAAUGAAAAUUGUUGAUCAAAAAGUGGAAAGGAUGAAAGAAAACAUUAACAGAGCGUUGACAGAACAUAACAUUUGCGAGGAAACUCACAGAGAAGACAUUCUACGGAUCUACCAGAAACUUUGCGAUAGCCAUCGCGUGAUCGUUACUGGUCAUAACAACAGCAUGAUUUACAGAUGCGCGCUUGCAGCUAUUAAAUUGAUGAAGUGCGAACAGUGUUUAGAAAUAAACAACCCGUCCGACUGGCAACGCAUCGGUACCGAAGACGCUAGCUUGGUUCUGUUUAGGGAGCCAUUUGGAAUACUGACGUAUGAGUCACAAAAGGUUGAAGUUAUGCUUGAAGAAUUUGACAGCAUGUUAGAUGCAACAACCGACGACAAAGAUGAUGACGUUAUGGAUAUAAUAAUAGUUACCACACAGACACUUCUAAGUGAGGUUACAAGAAGACACGAUCACGAGAUGUUAUCCCCAUCGUGUACGGUUAAAAUAGAAACCGAUGAAGACCACAAUUAUGAGUAUGCAUAUGCCAAGAAGGAUACAGUUCAUAAAAACCUGCAAGAUAUUUCGCAAAUCUACAAAGAGAAGUAUAUACGGAAGAUUGUUGACAAGCAUUUCAAGCAAGAAGUUGAAACGCUGUUUAUAGCUAACAAUACGGUUACAAUCAUCGGGCCAGUCGGAAGUGGGAAGAUGACCUUAGCAUUUCAGCUGUUGUCAUCAUAUGACCUUAGCAACGGAGAAGACAAUUUUCUGGUUAUAGUGGAUCCAAGUGAACUAAAGUAUGUCAACUUUUUUCUUCGACCAGUGAUUAUAAUCAAGCUGUUGGCUGGAGUAAAAUUUGACAGAAUGGAAGCACACAAAUGGUACAGACAGUUUGACAGGUUGUAUGCUGCUGUAAAGGACAAUAAAUUGGCCGUGAUUCUCACAAUAGAGACGGAAGUUUUCCAAGAGUGGCAGAGAAAUAUGCCGACUCAUCCUGUUCUUGAACAUAUCGUUUAUAUGCGCGAAAGUCCACCGAAGAAAAGACAAAAGACCGUUCACGAAUACAAAGACCAGGCAGCAAGCGGAUCGAAAGCGUUCAUACCACUACAAAUGUGAAGAGCAACGUCUACAACAAUGUUUUCUGUGGACCGUUCCCAUGGGUUUUCUUUACAUGUUUGAGAGAUGACAUAUAAGAUAUCGCCUUUGUAAAUUUUGAACAUAUUAUCAAAUUCAUUUAAUCAGGUUUUAUGUUUUUAUUACUAGAAGAAAUUUUCAUAUUGAACGUUUUUCUCUGAGUAUGUUUGUAUCAUUUAAUUGUUAUCAUGUCCCGCCAAAGAGCCCGUGAUUUUCAUGUCACUUUAUGGAAGUAAACAUUCAUUAAAAACACAGCAGAACAGUAGGAUUCGAGUCUGCAUGUGAAUAAGAGUCACGCGAGGAUAUGAAACCUUCCAUUUACAGUUCGAAAAGCUAUUUAUAUCAGUUCGUCAAUAUCGCAACUUUUCAUGAAAAUACUUGGUGCAAUUAUUUUUAUGAAUCAACCUUGCGGUUUAGGGUUUCCAGCAAUUGAUCAACGUGGCAUCUUUGUUUUUUGUUUUAUACAUUUCUCCUGUGCUACUUGAUGUUUUACAUCUACAUCUUUUUAUUCAAUAAGUUGUUCGACAAUAACCGAAUUACUUCUCCAGCUAAAACGAUCUUUGAUCCGUCAGACCGAUAACUCCAACGAAGAAGGUAUUCUAUUGUAUUUUCGUUGCAGUUACUCUUGAUCUUGAUAAUUGUGCUAUGUGCAUACACCAGAUAUUAAAUGAAUUGAUUCUUGACUGUAAUUGUGAACGUCAGUAGUUGAUUUUAUAUGCUCUUUAGUUUGUCUCUGAACUGAUCAGUGAAUGAAAGCAAAAGUAGGUACUUAAUUUCUACCUAGGCAAUAUUAGACUUUAAACACGCACCUCGCUCAUUUCCGUGUCAAACAACGGUUACCAUGGCUUCCUUACAAUAAGAUCAACCUCAAUAAUUUUGGAAUUUUGAGAUUGCAUAUAAACAUGCUGGCAAGAAGAUGUUCCUGGGUUGUUAACCGUUGAUCCAGAUAUAAUGUCACUGCAACUAAAGAAUUUGAAGCAAAAAAAAAAAUCUGGAUCUAUUCUAUAUUUUUCAAAAAUUGUCGAAAUUUUUUCAAGAUAUCAACCGAAACGAAAAAUAUGGCAACGGCAAGGUCGUUAAUUAUGACAAGUUGUGAAAAACAAUGUCACUAAGCAGUACAACAUAAAGUGACUGAAAAUGCGGUGACGUCAUCAAAGCUUUAAUAAAGAACUGUAAGAGGACUGCAUCAAAUAGGAAGUGACUACUCAGUAUUACAUGUAAAGUAGUCCAAGAUAGAGUUCCAUAUUCUUGAUAAAAUCUGGUAUAAUGGGUCGGAUAAUUGUUUGUAUGAAAUAAAGAAAGAAUUGAAAAGUGUCUAAAAAUGAGGAUAUGAGUGGAAUAUUUUGGUCGUGUUUUAAUAGCAUAUGAUAAUUAAUGUACAAUACCGCAGCACAAAUUGAGAAAAUCACAAAAAGUAAUAUCACAAUAUCACUGUUUAGGAGUUAUUUAACAAAAUACGUAUUACAGCCCAAAUAUUGCUGAUUUCUGACUGACAGAUGUUAUACCUAGUAUUUGACAGUAUAAGCAUGCACGUUGUUCUUAGAUUAGAAUAAAAAUGACGACAAAGGUCAACUUGAUGCGCUUACAUAUGUUACUAAAAAGUCAUAAAACCUUGAAAAUAUGUUGUAUCAAGCUGAAACAUGGUAUUUUCCCUGCAUGUUGGGUGAUAUUUUUAUAGAAAGUUAUUCAUAAAGACCGUUUUAACUGAAAAGGAAGUGAUAACACAAUGUUACAUGUCUAUAUAUAGCUCUAUCCUCUUUAUAGAAUGUAGUUUAAAGAGCCACAUAAUGGUGUUCUAGAUUUUUUUUAUUUACUUUUAUUUACGAUUGUAUUGGGAAAAGAACUAGACAAUUUUCUUCGUGCAUUUAACGUGUAAAUUUUAUUCAAGUAAAUGUCAACAUGAACGUAACUGUUCAAUAGCAAUUUUCAAUAGAGCAUGUCUUGUAUUUUAUAUGACAGUACACUGUAUAUAUUUGUUGUAUUUUUUGUAAGUAUGCAUAUUAUAUUACCUUGAUAUAUGAUAUGAAUUUGAAAUGCUCUAAAGUAAUGAAAUGAUGUCUUAAGAUUAAAUUGUUAUCUGAAACAAAAGCG